UGCAAUUAUCGCCUUAUUGGCAAGUUUUUACAUCUUCAAUAUUGAGUACUGCCACACGAAGAGCAUCUUGUCUGCUUUGCAGACUAUAGUAGUGCAUGGGCAAGACAGAAAAUGGCAUAUACAACUGCCAGUGAGGGUCACGGCCCUCUUCAAUGACUUGUCAUGACUCAUGAGUAUUAGUACUACAGUAAUUUUACACUUUUUGAGAGUUGUGUAUUGUCUCACAUCUCACCGAACUGUGGUAAUGUAUUAGAAAUUAUUCGUAUUGCGUUCAUGUUAACAACCGCGCCUGCUAUUGCUAUCACAAGU
rnacentral:lncRNA from 1 species